UCUGAAAACAGACAUGCAAAUGUUGGGCUUGUCAGACUCUAAAAUGUUUUCUUUAUUCUUGAGAGUUAUGGCAUCCUGCCUGCUGAGCCUGGGAGGCCUGACAAGCUGAGCACAGGCUCCCGGUCGCAAAGCAACAGAGUGUGGGAAAGGGAGGCAGACGCACGUGCUGGGUAAUCAGGCAGUGAGGGACAACUGCCUUCCACAUUAAGCCACCCCUCCCUGGCACUGUUAGGUUGUAGCUUGCCUUCCAGGAACGGGAGGUGGGGAACAGGGAACUGUCAGAUGCGUUUACAGACGUCCUCAUGAUCACUCUGUAGGUUGGGGACCAGCUGGUGUCACUUGGAUCCUCGGGCCAGCUGGCGGAAGCUUGUUGUUGCCAACCUGAGUAUAACAAUAGGGCCUUCGAGAGACUGUCUUGCAUGGGAUAGCCACCUGAGACUUCUGGCGAGGACUCUCUAGGAUUCUCCUCCCUCAAGAGACUGGGAUGGGUGAGGGGGUAGGAUUUAGCAAGUGCUUCCCAAGGGCUGCUAAAUACUUGCAAAGUUCCUCCCUAGGUCUUGCUGUGGGGGCCUCCUGAGUAAAACCUGCUAUCCCUAGGUGAUGAGUUCACAGCUUUGUCGGGGAGAGAGACAAGAAAACAUGCAUGCUAACGGCCUGGGCUAAAUGCAAAAAGAGAAGUGCAAACAUUCUCCCCACCCUCCUCCACCUCCAAAUAUGGUUAAAAUAUUUAUGCCAGGAUCCUGACCAAGGCUGCAGAAAAAGAAUCUUUUAAGAACAUAUAUAUCUAUCUAUCGAUAUACAUUCAGCCCCUGACAGUGACACGGAACUGUAGUGCCUCUUAAUUACCCAGGAAGUGACAGGGUCAAGAGGUGUCUGAAAGCUGCCUUGUGGCUCUGGGCAUUGAUUUCUCACCAUUGUCGCGGCUUCACAAGCUGGAGUGGGAGCCACGGCCGCCUUGUUUUUGUCUACUGUUUGGAUUUCUUCUUUUCUUCCUCCCUCACACUCUCUCUCCCUCUCUGUCUUUUUUUUUUUUUUUAAUUUGAAAAGAAACUUCUGGCGUUUUGGGUAUUGAUUGGAAAUUCAUAAAAGCAGGACACAUUUUGGAUUGGCUCACCAGUUUUAAUUGCUGUUUGGGCAGUGGGGGAAGAGGCCCAGUUCUUGCAGAGACGCCCUCCCUCGUGCCCCCAUUCUCUAUUUUUCUGCUUUCUUCCUGUAAUCUGUGAAUUUGUGAGGGGAAAGUAACAAUCAAAAAAUAUUUUUAGUGCCCCUGAAUAGUCGCUAGCUGCAUUUAUGAUGCAUGGAUAAGUUGUGCC
ensembl:lncRNA